UUAAGCGACUAAGCGUACACGGUGGAUGCCCUGGCAGUCAGAGGCGAUGAAGGACGUGCUAAUCUGCGAAAAGCGUCGGUAAGGUGAUAUGAACCGUUACAGCCGGCGAUGUCCGAAUGGGGAAACCCAGUGUGAUUCGUCACACUAUCGUUAACUGAAUACAUAGGUUAACGAGGCGAACCGGGGGAACUGAAACAUCUAAGUACCCCGAGGAAAAGAAAUCAACCGAGAUUCCCCCAGUAGCGGCGAGCGAACGGGGAGCAGCCCAGAGUCUGAAUCAGCUUGUGUGUUAGUGGAACGGUCUGGAAAGUCCGACGGUACAGGGUGAUAGUCCCGUACACCAAAAUGCACAGGUUGUGAACUCGAAGAGUAGGGCGGGACACGUGGUAUCCUGUCUGAAUAUGGGGGGACCAUCCUCCAAGGCUAAAUACUCCUGACUGACCGAUAGUGAACCAGUACCGUGAGGGAAAGGCGAAAAGAACCCCGGCGAGGGGAGUGAAAAAGAACCUGAAACCGUGUACGUACAAGCAGUGGGAGCACCUUCGGGUGUGACUGCGUACCUUUUGUAUAAUGGGUCAGCGACUUAUAUUCUGUAGCAAGGUUAACCGUAUAGGGGAGCCGCAGGGAAACCGAGUCUUAACUGGGCGUUAAGUUGCAGGGUAUAGACCCGAAACCCGGUGAUCUAGCCAUGGGCAGGUUGAAGGUUGGGUAACACUAACUGGAGGACCGAACCGACUAAUGUUGAAAAAUUAGCGGAUGACUUGUGGCUGGGGGUGAAAGGCCAAUCAAACCGGGAGAUAGCUGGUUCUCCCCGAAAGCUAUUUAGGUAGCGCCUCGUGAAUUCAUCUUCGGGGGUAGAGCACUGUUUCGGCUAGGGGGUCAUCCCGACUUACCAACCCGAUGCAAACUACGAAUACCGAAGAAUGUUAUCACGGGAGACACACGGCGGGUGCUAACGUCCGUCGUGAAGAGGGAAACAACCCAGACCGCCAGCUAAGGUCCCAAAGUCAUGGUUAAGUGGGAAACGAUGUGGGAAGGCACAGACAGCCAGGAUGUUGGCUUAGAAGCAGCCAUCAUUUAAAGAAAGCGUAAUAGCUCACUGGUCGAGUCGGCCUGCGCGGAAGAUGUAACGGGGCUAAACCAUGCACCGAAGCUGCGGCAGCGACACUAUGUGUUGUUGGGUAGGGGAGCGUUCUGUAAGCCUGCGAAGGUGACCUGUGAGGGUUGCUGGAGGUAUCAGAAGUGCGAAUGCUGACAUAAGUAACGAUAAAGCGGGUGAAAAGCCCGCUCGCCGGAAGACCAAGGGUUCCUGUCCAACGUUAAUCGGGGCAGGGUGAGUCGACCCCUAAGGCGAGGCCGAAAGGCGUAGUCGAUGGGAAACAGGUUAAUAUUCCUGUACUUGGUGUUACUGCGAAGGGGGGACGGAGAAGGCUAUGUUAGCCGGGCGACGGUUGUCCCGGUUUAAGCAUGUAGGCUGAUUGUCCAGGCAAAUCCGGAUAAUCAAGGCUGAGGUGUGAUGACGAGGCACUACGGUGCUGAAGUAACAAAUGCCCUGCUUCCAGGAAAAGCCUCUAAGCAUCAGGUAACAUUAAAUCGUACCCCAAACCGACACAGGUGGUCAGGUAGAGAAUACCAAGGCGCUUGAGAGAACUCGGGUGAAGGAACUAGGCAAAAUGGUGCCGUAACUUCGGGAGAAGGCACGCUGGUGUGUAGGUGAAGCCCCUGCGGGUGGAGCUGAGACCAGUCGAAGAUACCAGCUGGCUGCAACUGUUUAUUAAAAACACAGCACUGUGCAAACACGAAAGUGGACGUAUACGGUGUGACGCCUGCCCGGUGCCGGAAGGUUAAUUGAUGGGGUUAUCCGUAAGGAGAAGCUCUUGAUCGAAGCCCCGGUAAACGGCGGCCGUAACUAUAACGGUCCUAAGGUAGCGAAAUUCCUUGUCGGGUAAGUUCCGACCUGCACGAAUGGCGUAAUGAUGGCCAGGCUGUCUCCACCCGAGACUCAGUGAAAUUGAACUCGCUGUGAAGAUGCAGUGUACCCGCGGCAAGACGGAAAGACCCCGUGAACCUUUACUAUAGCUUGACACUGAACAUUGAGCCUUGAUGUGUAGGAUAGGUGGGAGGCUUUGAAGCGUGGACGCCAGUCUGCGUGGAGCCAACCUUGAAAUACCACCCUUUAAUGUUUGAUGUUCUAACGUUGGCCCCUGACCGGGGUUGCGGACAGUGUCUGGUGGGUAGUUUGACUGGGGCGGUCUCCUCCCAAAGCGUAACGGAGGAGCACGAAGGUUAGCUAAUCCUGGUCGGACAUCAGGAGGUUAGUGCAAUGGCAUAAGCUAGCUUGACUGCGAGCGUGACGGCGCGAGCAGGUGCGAAAGCAGGUCAUAGUGAUCCGGUGGUUCUGAAUGGAAGGGCCAUCGCUCAACGGAUAAAAGGUACUCCGGGGAUAACAGGCUGAUACCGCCCAAGAGUUCAUAUCGACGGCGGUGUUUGGCACCUCGAUGUCGGCUCAUCACAUCCUGGGGCUGAAGUAGGUCCCAAGGGUAUGGCUGUUCGCCAUUUAAAGUGGUACGCGAGCUGGGUUUAGAACGUCGUGAGACAGUUCGGUCCCUAUCUGCCGUGGGCGCUGGAGAAUUGAGGGGGGCUGCUCCUAGUACGAGAGGACCGGAGUGGACGCAUCACUGGUGUUCGGGUUGUCAUGCCAAUGGCACUGCCCGGUAGCUAAAUGCGGAAGAGAUAAGUGCUGAAAGCAUCUAAGCACGAAACUUGCCCCGAGAUGAGUUCUCCCUGAGACUUUAAGUCUCCUGAAGGAACGUUGAAGACGACGACGUUGAUAGGCCGGGUGUGUAAGCGCAGCGAUGCGUUGAGCUAACCGGUACUAAUGAACCGUGAGGCUUAACCUU
rnacentral:rRNA from 1 species